GCUUUACGAUUAUUUUUAUUAAGUUAAGAAUUGUAAGUAUAAAUUAAUUUAAAUAAUAUUCGUUUCGUUGGGGCGACGAGAAUAUAAUUAAUAACUGUUCUUCUUUAAGAUUACAAUUAUAAUUGGUUGGAAAUUGAUCCCUUAUUAAGGAUUAAAAAUUCAAGUU
rnacentral:rRNA from 1 species